rnacentral:rRNA from 1 species
UGGGGAAUAUUGCACAAUGGGCGAAAGCCUGAUGCAGCAACGCCGCGUGAGUGAUGAAGGCCUUCGGGUUGUAAAGCUCUGUCUUCUGGGACGAUAAUGACGGUACCAGAGGAGGAAGCCACGGCUAACUACGUGCCAGCAGCCGCGGUAAUACGUAGGUGGCAAGCGUUGUCCGGAUUUACUGGGCGUAAAGGAUGCGUAGGCGGAUACUUAAGUCAGAUGUGAAAAUCCCGGGCUUAACUUGGGAACUGCAUUUGAAACUGGGUAGCUAGAGUGCGGGAGAGGAUAGUGGAAUUCCUAGUGUAGCGGUGAAAUGCGCAGAGAUUAGGAAGAACACCAGUGGCGAAGGCGACUUUCUGGACCGUAACUGACGCUGAGGCAUGAAAGCGUGGGGAGC